rnacentral:lncRNA from 1 species
CCUUCCUUAAGACCAGGUCUCUGGAUCUGAAAAACUUCGGCUUAACCUUAGCAUUAUAGUAUCGGGCCACUCUUUAUCGGUAGGAAGCCAUGCGAAGUUGAGCCUCGUGUCGGAGUUCGGGUAGGAGGUCCAAGUCGGCUCUCCGACACUCGGAGUUGCCCGGCUCGCAGUACUGCUCAACUUUAGUCGAUGGUAGCCCGAUUUCUUUAAUCCCAUAGGCUAAGCUGAAAGGAGAUUUUUCGAUCGAGACACGGGGUGUCGUUUGGUACGCCCAUAGGACGAAAUUCA